rnacentral:rRNA from 1 species
GUGGGGAAUCUUGCGCAAUGGGCGAAAGCCUGACGCAGCCAUGCCGCGUGAAUGAUGAAGGUCUUAGGAUUGUAAAAUUCUUUCACCGGGGACGAUAAUGACGGUACCCGGAGAAGAAGCCCCGGCUAACUUCGUGCCAGCAGCCGCGGUAAUACGAAGGGGGCUAGCGUUGCUCGGAAUUACUGGGCGUAAAGGGCGCGUAGGCGGACAGUUUAGUCAGAGGUGAAAGCCCAGGGCUCAACCUUGGAAUUGCCUUUGAUACUGGCUGUCUUGAGUACGGGAGAGGUGAGUGGAACUCCGAGUGUAGAGGUGAAAUUCGUAGAUAUUCGGAAGAACACCAGUGGCGAAGGCGACUCACUGGCCCGUUACUGACGCUGAGGCGCGAAAGCGUGGGGAGCAACAGGAUUAGAUACCCUGGUAGUCC